rnacentral:rRNA from 1 species
GACGAACGCUGGCGGCGUGCUUAACACAUGCAAGUCGAACGGAAAGGCCCUGCUUUUGUGGGGUGCUCGAGUGGCGAACGGGUGAGUAACACGUGAGUAACCUGCCCUUGACUGUGGGAUAACUUCAGGAAACUGGGGCUAAUACCGGAUAGGAGCUCCUGCUGCAUGGUGGGGGUUGGAAAGUUUCGGCGGUGGGGGAUGGACUCGCGGCUUAUCAGCUUGUUGGUGGGGUAGUGGCUUACCAAGGCUUUGACGGGUAGCCGGCCUGAGAGGGUGACCGGCCACAUUGGGACUGAGAUACGGCCCAGACUCCUACGGGAGGCAGCAGUGGGGAAUAUUGCACAAUGGGCGGAAGCCUGAUGCAGCAACGCCGCGUGCGGGAUGACGGCCUUCGGGUUGUAAACCGCUUUCGCCUGUGACGAAGCGUGAGUGACGGGAAUGGGUAAAGAAGCACCGGCUAACUACGU